CAGUGGGGCUCCUAGGAUGUUGCUGAGCCGGGCCAGCAGGCAGUGGAAAGCCUCUGAUGAGGUCUCCAGGCCCCAGGGAUUGUCCAGCGAGGCCCUGCUGGAUGAGUGGACAGUGGGGUUAUAGAGGGUUGUUUCCUGGGAUUGCGUCUGGUUGGAAAAGUGCUGGCGCAGGUGGGCUGCUUCUUGGCCAUCUGGACUGAGAGGCUCCAGGAGGAAGCUCUCAGGCUGAUAAUCAUCAGAGUAAGAGCAGGAAGUCAGGUGACUUCUCAAAGAGGGAACAAAGAGAGUGAGAGGGAAAUGAAGCAGAGACAGAAGUAAGGCUGGGAUGAGGACCCUGGUCAGGGAGCACAGGAAGGGGAGAGUUAGGAAGUUAAGAAGAAAAGCUGCUCAUCAUGGACUUGGGUGGCACCUAGGUGACACAUCUGCAGUGUCCCCAAUGCACUGUCAGCCUGGAUACAGUAGCUGCCUGAUGGAAAGCCAAGGAGAACAGGAGGCCCAGAAAUCCUGGGUAUGGGUGGGCCUGGCUGACGUGCUGCUCCUGACGUGCUGCUCCUGACGUGCAGGGAUUGAACUCAGGACCUUGCUCUUGCGAGGCAGGCAGCAGAACUACUGAGCUAAAUCUCCAGCCCCUGUUGCUGACUUUUACACAAGCAGUUCGGGUGGGGUGGUUGGUGGUUGGGGCAAAAGCCCCCACAGUAGUCUAAGAAUGAGAGACUCUAAGAAAGUAGUGACCUAGUUUUAGAAUCUAGUUACAGGCAGGUUAAAUAAAUAAUAAAACCCAAAGGCUACACAUGCCUGUAAUCCCUGCACUCUGGGAGGCUGAGGCAGGAGAAGCACAAGUUUGAGCCCAGCCUGAGCAGCAUAGAGAGCCUACCUCUAAAAAAAUGACUGGGGGUGUAGCACACUGCAAACGGCCUUGGGUUCAAUCCCAAGCAACACACACAUAUAUGAAAAGAAAAAACAGAGAAAAGGAAAAUAAAAAGGUGACAGUGAAGUCUAUUGAACACUGAAACAAGCAGCUGAGGCCACACCACCAAGGCCCCCUGGUAUAGUGUCUGUUGAGAGACAGCAAAUGGAAGCAAAAGAGCAUCCAAGAGGUCUGGGAACAGGCAGACCCCUAAGAGUGAGCAGGCGUACCCCAAAAGGCACUGUAGGCCGACUGCAACACAGUAGCCAAACCCAGGAGCUGAGCAGCUGGAAUUCUCAGAGUUAAAGAGCUGGCAGGGUCCCACAGUGGGGAGAAACUGUAGGAGUAGAGUCGAAGUCAGGAACACAGGGUCUAGGAAAGAGAAGGACCAGAUAUAAAUGGGGAAGGGAAACAGAGCCAGAAUUCUCAAAAGUAAGUUGAACUAUUUUCAAAUACUUCACAGAAGAGGAAACUCUGUGAACCAAGCCACCCUUCCAAAAGUUCAAGGAAACUUAGAUUCACGUAAAACAGAGACAGAAGAAUAUGUAGAUCCAAUUCCACAGCAAGGUAAGCAUAGGACAAGAAUAAGGAGCAGAGAAACAACCUUCCAGACAAUGAAAGCUUGCCAGAAAGACGUGUUCACAGAACAGAGCAUAGUAAGAGACAAAAACAAAAUGAUACAGACAGCAAAGAACAAAA